rnacentral:rRNA from 1 species
AGAUAGGCAAACGCCGUUCGGAAGCGGGGCUCUAGCGCACCGAAACGCCCGCCAUUAUC